CCUACGGGUGGCUGCAGUGGGGAAUAUUGGACAAUGGGGGCAACCCUGAUCCAGCCAUGCCGCGUGUGUGAAGAAGGCCCUCGGGUUGUAAAGCACUUUCAGUGAGGAAGAACGCCUGGUGGUUAAUACCCAUCAGGAAAGACAUCACUCACAGAAGAAGCACCGGCUAACUCCGUGCCAGCAGCCGCGGUAAUACGGAGGGUGCGCGCGUUAAUCGGAAUUACUGGGCGUAAAGCGCGCGUAGGUGGCUUGAUAAGCCGGUUGUGAAAGCCCCGGGCUCAACCUGGGAACGGCAUCCGGAACUGUCAAGCUAGAGUGCAGGAGAGGAAGGUAGAAUUCCCGGUGUAGCGGUGAAAUGCGUAGAGAUCGGGAGGAAUACCAGUGGCGAAGGCGGCCUUCUGGACUGACACUGACACUGAGGUGCGAAAGCGUGGGUAGCAAACAGGAUUAGAUACCCGAGUAGUC
rnacentral:rRNA from 1 species